UGCAAGUCGAGCGGACCGAAUGAGAGCUUGCUCUUGUUUGGUCAGCGGCGGACGGGUGAGUAACACGUGGGCAACCUGCCCGCAAGACCGGGAUAACUCCGGGAAACCGGAGCUAAUACCGGAUAACACCGAAGACCGCAUGGUCUUUGGUUGAAAGGCGGCCUUUGGCUGUAACUUCCGGAUGGGCCCGGGGGCGAAUUAGCUACGUUGGUAAGGUAAACGGUUAACCAAGGCGACGUAGCGUAGCCGGCCUGAGAGGGUGACCGGCCACACUGGGAGUGAGACACGGCCCAGACUCCUACGGGAGGCAGCAGUAGGGAAUCUUCCGCAAUGGACGAAAGUCUGACGGAGCGACGCCGCGUGAGCGAAGAAGGCCUUCGGGUCGUAAAGCUCUGUUGUGAGGGACGAAGGAGCGCCGUUUGAACAAGGCGGCGCGGUGACGGUACCUCACGAGAAAGCCCCGGCUAACUACGUGCCAGCAGCCGCGGUAAUACGUAGGGGGCGAGCGUUGUCCGGAAUUAUUGGGCGUAAAGCGCGCGCAGGCGGUUCCUUAAGUCUGAUGUGAAAGCCCACGGCUCAACCGUGGAGGGUCAUUGGAAACUGGGGGACUUGAGUGCAGGAGAGGAGAGCGGAUUUCCACGUGUAGCGGUGAAAUGCGUAGAGAUGUGGAGGAACACCAGUGGCGAAGGCGGCUCUCUGGCCUGCAACUGACGCUGAGGCGCGAAAGCCUGGGGAGCAAACAGGAUUAGAUACCCUGUAGUCCACGCCGUAAACGAUGAGUGCUAAGUGUUAGAGGGGUCACACCCUUUAGUGCUGCAGCUAACGCGAUAAGCACUCCGCCUGGGGAGUACGGCCGCAAGGCUGAAACUCAAAGGAAUUGACGGGGGCCCGCACAAGCGGUGGAGCACUGUGGUUUAAUUGCAAGCAACGCGAAGAACCUUACCAGGUCUUGACAUCCCCUGACAACCCAAGAGAUUGGGCGUUCCCCCUUCGGGGGGACAGGGUGACAGGUGGUGCAUGGUUGUCGUCAGCUCGUGUCGU
rnacentral:rRNA from 1 species